GCACCGAGCUCUCAGUUCUCGCACACACGCGCAUUAGCUCUUCGCUCUCGCACUUGCUUUCUCGCCGGCCGCUCACCCCCUGUCCCAUCCGGCCCGCCCAGGACGCGCCUCGUCGUCUCCCCGGCUGCCGGGUCGGCUGCCCGCGGCUGAGCGAGCUCGGGGCCCGCGCCGCGCGACUGCAGCGGGGCGCCCUCGCCAAGCGCGGUGCCUUGGCUGCCCGGCCGCCUUCGCCGCGCGGGCACUGGCCAGGAGGCUUCCAGUGGGCUGCCCCUGCUGCCAUCCGAAAUACUUCAGGAGCUUCUUGGCUAAGGGCCCCACGAGCCCACAGGGAGGCAGAUCUCCAGGACGUCUUGCCCUGUGCUCCCAGCCCAGUUGCCACAACAAACAGCAGAGGAGACGUUGACCAUGGGGGAUGUGAAGCUGGCUGCCUCAACACAGGUUUCCAAAACCUCCAUCAGUGUGGAUCACUCGAGAGUCGGUUCCAUGCCCCUGACCGAGGCCCCUGCUUUCAUUGUGCCCCCUCGGAACCUCUGCAUCAGAGAAGGAGCCACCGCCAAGUUUGAAGGGAGGGUAAGAAGCAUGGCUGGAGGGGAGGCUGGAGAAGAGAUGGGCAAGGUCAUCACUGCUUCUCGAGCCCUUUCCUCAGCAGGCUGGAUCUGGCAGAAGGCCUGGUUUUCUUUGGACCCACACAUAAAGUGAAUACAUUUCAGUUUGACCGACUUCUUUUGUUUAUGAUUGACUUUGGUCUGUGUCGGACAGCUCGAGGGUGGGAAGUGGCACUGAGGUGUUUUGCUGUUAAUGUAGGUCAUUACAUUAUGUGCUGCCUAAUUAUAGAAGAUGACAUGGGCUGGUGGCAGGAACCAUACAGCUUGGGUUUAAAUAUGUGUCCUCAAAUCUGGACAGUUGAGAACCGACUGUAGCUUUUCUUUCACUUUCUUCUUCAAAGGAGUAUUUCAUUAACUAGCCCUCUCAUGUGUCAUCUUGGCACAUCCAGAAUAGUGGGGUGGAAGAUAAGACCCCUUAUCAGUUUGGUCCCCUUGUGCUAAUUAAUAUUGGUCUCUUGCUCUUCCUGGGCCUCCAUUUCUUCUGCAAAUGGGUGUGAUAAUUCCUUGCCCACCUUGUACUAGAAAGGAGAAGAAGAUGAGGACAUUGAAGAGUAGCUGUGAGAGUCCUGAGGUUAUUAUGCCUGAGUGAAGGGACCUGUGGUGAGCUGCUGGCUCAGGCCUCCAGGACGUCAAAUUAUCCACCUGACAUGGAGAUGCAUGUGCAAGUCAGGAAUGUUUGCAAGUAAUAUUUGUCCUGGGAUUAAACGUGGGGAAUCUACCCCAAGAAAC